UGUCUGCAGUGAUGAUAUAAUAGUUCAGAUGACCUACUGUGAUAUAUUUUCAUGUCUUUCGCUCCUAUCUGACUGUUGCGU